rnacentral:lncRNA from 1 species
GGUUAUUAUCAUGAAUAUUAUUAUAGAUAGAGAUAAACUGUAAACAGCAAAAAUGUUCAGCAAAGUAAGAUUUACAAAUAAGUCAACAUGACCGAAAUGGUCAGUUGACCCCUUUAGGAGUUAUGGCCCUUUAUAGUCAAUUUUUAACCAUUUUCCGUAAAUCUUAGUUAUCUUUUACAAAAAUCUUCUCCUCUGAAACUACUGGGCCAAAUUGAACCAAACUUGGCAACAAUCAUCAUUGGGGUAACUAGUUUGAAAAUUGUGUCCGGUGACCCGGCCAACCAACCAAGAUGGCCACCAUGGCUAAAAAUAGAACAUAGGGGUAAAAUCAGUUUUUGGCUUAUAACUCAAAAACCAAAGCAUUUAGAGCAAAUCUGACAGAGGUUAAAUGGUUUAUCAGGUCAAGAUCUAUCUGCCCUGAAAUUUUCAGAUGAAUCAGAC